rnacentral:tmRNA from 1 species
GGGGGCGAAACAGGAUCGAUGGCCGCGAAGAAGUGUUGAAUUGUUCCCGGCAUGAUACCGCCGUUAUCGGGUCAAAACCUAAAUGCAAACGAUAACGUUCGCAUGAACGAAGUGCGCCUCGCGGCGUAACCGUUCGGGGUAGGUCCACCUAGCAACAGAACGGCCAUG